rnacentral:rRNA from 1 species
CGUAGGGUGCGAGCGUUAAUCGGAAUUACUGGGCGUAAAGCGUGCGCAGGCGGUUUUGUAAGACAGAUGUGAAAUCCCCGGGCUCAACCUGGGACCUGCAUUUGUGACUGCAAGGCUAGAGUACGGUAGAGGGGGAUGGAAUUCCGCGUGUAGCAGUGAAAUGCGUAGAUAUGCGGAGGAACACCGAUGGCGAAGGCAAUCCCCUGGACCUGUACUGACGCUCAUGCACGAAAGCGUGGGGAGCAAACAGGAUUAGAUACCCUGGUAGUCCACGCCCUAAACGAUGUCAGCUGGUUGUUGGGUCUUUACUGACUCAGUAACGAAGCUAACGCGUGAAGUUGACCGCCUGGGGAGUACGGCCGCAAGGUUG